AUGCAAGGAAUUGACGGAUAUAAGGAUUUGACGGAAAUAAGGGUACACCUAGGCGAUAGUUUUAAACUGUUUUCAAAUGUAUAAUUCUAUACAUGCAUUGGUUUCAAAAAUAAAGGAAAUAAGCUAGUUUGUAUAACUGUUUUUACAGUGGGGUUAGUAUGUUCAUAUGUUAUUUUCUAAACUUUGUUUUGGAUCCACU
rnacentral:lncRNA from 1 species